rnacentral:rRNA from 1 species
AGCUCCAAUAGCGUAUAUUAAAGUUGUUGCAGUUAAAAAGCUCGUAGUUGGAUUUCUGGUAGGAGCGACCGUGCCGAACUUGAUUGUUCGAGUAUUGUGUUGUUUUCAGCCAUCCUCGUGGAGAACUUUUCUAACAUUAACUUGUUGGGAUUGGGACCCGCGUCGUUUACUGUGAAAAAAUUAGAGUGUUUAAAGCAGGCAUUAGCUUGAAUACAUUAGCAUGGAAUAAUAAGAUAGGACUUUGGUACUAUUUUGUUGGUUUGCAUACCAAAUUAAUGAUCAACAGGAACAGUUUGAGGAUAUUCGUAUGAACAUGUCAGAGGUGAAAUUCUUGGAUUUUGAUCAGACGAACUACUGCGAAAGCAUUUAUCAAGGAUGUUUUCAUUA